CCCGCCCCAGCGGGGGGCGGUGGGGGCGGGGCAGAGGGACGCGCGGAGCACGGACCCCGCCCCUUCGCGGCUCCAUUCGUGACGUCGCGGGGGGCGCCGGCCUCCGCCCGGCUCCGAGCGAUGCCUGAGCCCACAGAGGUUAACUGACUGCCUCCCCCGUGGCUAACUCUCCCUGGAGGCCCAGACGCCUUUGCUCCCCAUGGGCAGCUGCCAAGCAGGGCACAACCUGCAUCUCUGUCUCGUCCACCACCCGCCUCUGGUCUGUGCCACUCUGAUCCUGCUGCUCCUGGGCCUCUCCGGCCUGGGCCUCGGUGGCUUCCUCCUCACCCACAGGAGUGGCCUGCGCAGCCCUGACAUCCCAGAGGACUGGGUCUCCUUCUUGAGGUCUUUCGGCCAGCUGACCCUGUGCCCUGUGGAUGGGACGGUCACGGCAACACGGCAGGGGGCUCACGUGGUAGGCUUAGUGACCACGCUGAACUUCGGGGAUGGUGCAGACAGGAACAAGACCCAGACCUUCCAAGCCAGCAUCCCAGGUCGGCAGCUGGGAUUGAAAGGGUCUUCUGCAGAGGAGCCCAUCCUUGUCACAGCCAGGGUGACCCCGGAAAGGACGCCGGGAGCCUGCCUGUAUUUUAAUGCUGCUCCAGGGAUCCUGCCCUCCAGCCAGCCACCCAUCUCCUGCCUCGAGGACGGAGCAGGCAAUGCCACCCUGAGCCCUAGGAUGGGUGAGGAGUGUGUCCGGAUCUGGAGCCACGAAGGCCUGGUGCUCACCAAGCUGCUCACCUCGGAGGAGCUGGCUCUGUGUGGCUCCAGGCUGCUGAUCUUGGGCUCCUUCCUGCUUCUCUUCUGUGGCCUUCUCUGCUGUGUCACUGCUGUGUGCUUCCACCCACGCCGGGAGUCGCACUGGUCCAGAACCCGGCUGUGAGGGCGCUGGCCUACUUCCUGCCUUGUUCUCAGCCCUGAAACUCUCAGCUUCCACUGGCUGCUGUGCCCUAGGAAGUUACUGUGGGAGAAGUGGAAACAGCUGAGGCCCAGGGAACCGCUCGGGCCAGAGGAACUGGAAGGUGUAAAUCAACUUCUUGGGUCUUGUUUCUGAGUUGGAAGAUGUCACAGAAAGUGAGGAGCUGGAGUGUGUGGGGGGGUAAAUAAAAGGUCUUUUUGCCUA